AACGGUCUAUACCUGCGGUACCUGCGGAGGGAUCAUUAGUGAACGCCCUCGCGGGCUUAUAACUAUUCCAAACCUCUGUGAACCGUGCCCUUCGGGGCUAUUUUACAAACAUGGUGUAAUGAACGUCAUAUAUCAUAACAAAACAAAACUUUUAGCAACGGAUCUCU
rnacentral:misc_RNA from 1 species